rnacentral:rRNA from 1 species
UUCGGGGUACACGAGCGGCGAACGGGUGAGUAACACGUGGGUGAUCUGCCUCGCACUCUGGGAUAAGCCUGGGAAACUGGGUCUAAUACCGGAUAUGACCUUACAUCGCAUGGUGUUUGGUGGAAAGAUUUAUCGGUGCGAGAUGGGCCCGCGGCCUAUCAGCUUGUUGGUGGGGUAAUGGCCUACCAAGGCGACGACGGGUAGCCGGCCUGAGAGGGCGACCGGCCACACUGGGACUGAGACACGGCCCAGACUCCUACGGGAGGCAGCAGUGGGGAAUAUUGCACAAUGGGCGAAAGCCUGAUGCAGCGACGCCGCGUGAGGGAUGACGGCCUUCGGGUUGUAAACCUCUUUCGACAGGGACGAAGCGCAAGUGACGGUACCUGUAGAAGAAGCACCGGCCAACUACGUGCCAGCAGCCGCGGUAAUACGUAGGGUGCGAGCGUUGUCCGGAAUUACUGGGCGUAAAGAGCUUGUAGGCGGCUUGUCGCGUCGAUCGUGAAAACUUGGGGCUCAACCCCAAGCUUGCGGUCGAUACGGGCAGGCUUGAGUACUUCAGGGGAGACUGGAAUUCCUGGUGUAGCGGUGAAAUGCGCAGAUAUCAGGAGGAACACCGGUGGCGAAGGCGGGUCUCUGGGAAGUAACUGACGCUGAGAAGCGAAAGCGUGGGUAGCGAACAGGAUUAGAUACCCUGGUAGUCCACGCCGUAAACGGUGGGUACUAGGUGUGGGUUUCCUUCCACGGGAUCCGUGCCGUAGCUAACGCAUUAAGUACCCCGCCUGGGGAGUACGGCCGCAAGGCUAAAACUCAAAGGAAUUGACGGGGGCCCGCACAAGCGGCGGAGCAUGUGGAUUAAUUCGAUGCAACGCGAAGAACCUUACCUGGGUUUGACAUACACCGGAAACCUGCAGAGAUGUAGGCCCCCUUGUGGUCGGUGUACAGGUGGUGCAUGGCUGUCGUCAGCUCGUGUCGUGAGAUGUUGGGUUAAGUCCCGCAACGAGCGCAACCCUUAUCUUAUGUUGCCAGCGCGUAAUGGCGGGGACUCGUGAGAGACUGCCGGGGUCAACUCGGAGGAAGGUGGGGACGACGUCAAGUCAUCAUGCCCCUUAUGUCCAGGGCUUCACACAUGCUACAAUGGCCGGUACAGAGGGCUGCGAUACCGUGAGGUGGAGCGAAUCCCUUAAAGCCGGUCUCAGUUCGGAUCGGGGUCUGCAACUCGACCCCGUGAAGUUGGAGUCGCUAGUAAUCGCAGAUCAGCAACGCUGCGGUGAAUACGUUCCCGGGCCUUGUACACACCGCCCGUCACGUCAUGAAAGUCGGUAACACCCGAAGCCGG